GAAGAGGAUGUCUCGUAGACGGCGCCGCCUUAAGUCCUUUGGAACAGGGCGUCAAAGAGGGUGAGAGUCCCGUAUUGGGGCGGAGGCCUGAUGCAUGUGAGACUCCUUCGACGAGUCGAGUUGUUUGGGAAUGCAGCUCUAAUUGGGAGGUAAAUUCCUUCUAAGGCUAAAUAUCGGCCGGAGACCGAUAGCGCACAAGUAGAGUGAUCGAAAGAUGAAAAGCACUUUGAAAAGAGAGUCAAAAAGCACGUGAAAUUGUUGAAAGGGAAGCGCUUGCCAUCAGACUCGCCCGCGGUCGAUCAGCUUCACGGCGCAUUCGUCCGCGGCCGGGCCAGCGUCGUUUCGGGCGGCCGGAGAAAGGCUGUGGGAAUGUAGCUCCUCACGGGGAGUGUUAUAGCCCAUGGUGAAAUGCGGCCUGUCUGGAUCGAGGUCCGCGCUU
rnacentral:rRNA from 1 species